AUGAAUGUCUUCGGAUUGUAAACUGCUUUUCUCUGUGGCGAAUAUGACGGUAGCCAGAGGAAUAAGGACCUGCUAACUACGUGC
rnacentral:rRNA from 1 species